rnacentral:rRNA from 1 species
AUGGUGCUCCUCUCUAUGGACAGCCUCUUCUCCCCGCGCUGCGUGUGGGUGAACGGGCCCAUCAUCAUCGGCGCCGGGCCCUCGGGCCUCGCCGUGGGCGCCAGCCUCCGGGAGCAGGGCGUGCCGUACAUCAUGCUGGAGCGCGAGGACUGCAUCGCCUCCCUCUGGCAGAAGCGCACCUACGACCGCCUCAAGCUCCACCUCCCCAAGCAGUUCUGCCAGCUCCCCCGCAUGCCCUUCCCCGCCGACUACCCCGAGUACCCCACCCGCCGCCAGUUCAUCGACUACCUCGAGUCCUACGCCGCCGCCUUCGACGUCAAGCCCGAGUUCGGCAGCACCGUGCAGUCCGCCCGCUACGACGAGACCUCGGGGCUCUGGCGCGUGCACUCCUCCUCCGCCGCCUCCGGCGAGAUGGAGUACAUCGGCCGCUGGCUCGUGGUCGCCACCGGCGAGAACGCCGAGAACGUGGUGCCCGACAUCCCCGGCCUCGACGGCUUCGCCGGCGAGGUGGCCCAUGUCAGCGAGUACAAGUCCGGCGAGAAGUACAAGGGCAAGCGCGUCCUCGUCGUCGGUUGCGGCAACUCCGGCAUGGAGGUCUCCCUCGACCUCUGCGACCACGGCGCGCUCCCGUCCAUGGUGGUGCGCGACGCCGUGCACGUGCUGCCCCGCGAGGUCAUGGGCAAGUCCACCUUCGAGCUCGCCACGCUGCUCAUGGCGUGGCUCCCGCUCUGGUUCGUCGACAAGAUCAUGGUGUUCCUCUCCUGGAUCAUCCUCGGCAACCUCGCCGGCUUCGGCAUCCGCCGCCCGGCCAUCGGCCCGCUCACGCUCAAGAACAAGUACGGCAAGACACCGGUGCUCGACACCGGCGCGCUCGCCAAGAUCAGGUCCGGCGACAUCACCGUCGUGCCCGGAGUGUCCCGGUUCACCAAGAGCAGGGCCGAGCUCACCGACGGCACCGCCCUCGACCUCGACGCCGUGGUGAUGGCCACGGGCUACCGCAGCAACGUUCCCCAGUGGCUCCAGGGCACCGACUUCUUCGGCAAGGACGGGUACCCGACCACCGCCUUCCCCAACGGGUGGAAGGGCCAGUCCGGGCUCUACUCCGUGGGCUUCACCCGCCGCGGCCUCUCCGGCGCGUCCGCCGACGCCGUCCGCAUCGCCAAGGACCUCGGGCAGGUGUGGCGCGAGGAGACCAAGCCCACCACCAAGCGGGCCGCCGGCGCCUGCCACAGGCGCUGUAUCUCCGUCAUCUUCUAA